AUUAGCCUCCAUUAUGCUGCUGUCCCAUGCUCUAGAGAACAUGCUUUAACCUCUCUGGUGAGAGAAUGUCUAGGUUUAUGCUUAAUGCAGAAGACUGAGGGUCUACCAGUCAGUAAAUAGACUGGUAAGCUAGUCAUCCUGCCCAAACACCCCACUCUCUCCCUCACCGGGUACCACCAAUUCCUCAUCCUCUCUCAGGUUGUGCAGUGUGAAAUCAAUUUCUGCUCUUCUUUCUCCACUGCUGACUAUGGUUUCCUUGUCAGCACUCACUACUGAUUUGCUUCUUGGGCUUCAAUAUGGUAUGGUCAUCAAACUUCUCCUGUUCUUUCUCCCUAUGGAUCUGUCAAUUUCUCCAUGUAUCUUCAUGUAUUUUGGAAAGGAAAAAUAAAACUUGAGAGUAGGAUCUGGUAUUCUUGAUGGAAAAUCUCCACUCAUUCUUCAGUGACCUCCUUCUACUGUCAUUAACAACUUCCAAGUUGCCACAUCCCGUACCCCUACCUGCUCUCAUUUAUGUAAGCUCUGCAGCAUUUGAAACUGACUACAAGUUCACUAAAUUUGUGGAACUCUCAUGAGUCACAGCACUGCAAGUUUACAUCUCUGUCCUGCUUCAAGCCAUC
rnacentral:lncRNA from 1 species